GGGGAAUAUUGGACAAUGGGCGCAAGCCUGAUCCAGCCAUGCCGCGUGAGUGAUGACGGCCCUAGGGUUGUAAAGCUCUUUCAACGGUGAAGAUAAUGACGGUAACCGUAGAAGAAGCCCCGGCUAACUUCGUGCCAGCAGCCGCGGUAAUACGAAGGGGGCUAGCGUUGUUCGGAAUUACUGGGCGUAAAGCGCACGUAGGCGGACUGAUAAGUCAGGGGUGAAAUCCCGGGGCUCAACCCCGGAACUGCCUUUGAUACUGUCAGUCUAGAGUUCGAGAGAGGUGAGUGGAAUUCCGAGUGUAGAGGUGAAAUUCGUAGAUAUUCGGAGGAACACCAGUGGCGAAGGCGGCUCACUGGCUCGAUACUGACGCUGAGGUGCGAAAGCGUGGGGAGCAAA
rnacentral:rRNA from 1 species